AGAUUGUAACUUGAAAUAGAUAUGUUGAGCACGUGUGAAAGUCUUUCCAUGCUAUGCUCUCCGUUGGGUUGCACGCACGCCUCUCGCCUUGCAGAAUCAUUUCGUUGUAACGUCUCGGUGUCUGAAAUGGAGUUACGGUGUUCCUGGAUUCUUAGUUGUGAGAUUGUCUUCUGUGGACGGGCUGCGGUCUGCACAGGACGCCUCUGUGCCUUGUGGGGAAACAAGCCUGUGGAGAAAGGCUACUGGUGAAGGACAAUGGAUGCCUGGAAGCCUGGAAGUGUAGGAUGAGUGAAGUCAUGCGUUGACUCCCAAAAUGGAUCAUCCCAUGCUACCAGACAGAGGCCAUGGGAGAGGAUUGAUGAGAUGUUGCUGACACUGCUGUACCAGAAGUUAAGAUGCUGCUGAAAUGGUUGAUAAGAAGCGUGUGGGUGGCCUCUGUCCAACUGAGGUGAAGAGAUGCAGUUGGACCAGCUCUGCUUCAGCCAAAUGGAAGAGCAGACUCCAUCUAAGACAAGAUGUUGCUGACACUGCUGUACCAUCGUGAAGAUGCUGCUGAAAUGGUUCAUAUGCUCAGUGUCCCUUGGUUCUAAAGAAAGUACAGAUGAUGAAGGGGUAGCUUGAGGCAUACAGGCAACCAUUGGCCAUGUGGAAGGCAAAGCCACGGCUGGGAUUAAUAUUGUCAUCUGUGGACGGGCUGCAGUCUGCACAAGACGCCUCAGUACCUUGUGGGCAGAACUGCAUGUGGAAAAAUGCUAAUGUAAAUGUCGUCAUCUCUGAUCAAGGUUCAGACUGCACGGAAUGCCUCUUGUCUGAUGCCCCCGUUUCAACUGUGGAUGGAGAAAGUGGAUUGUGUUGGAAACCCUGCUUCAGCAAGUUGCAGCAUUUCUGUGACUAGUGGAUGAGCAGUGUGGAAACGAUAGCAACUUGCAUGGUGGAAUAGGAGUGGCUUUUCCUGGUGCAAUUCAUCUAAAGUCUAAGGCUUCUGCAGUUCAUAAAGUUGAACCAUGGGAAAACAAGAAGCUACUUUGAAGUUGUGCUUUUUUCCUCUACAAUAAAAAUGAUUCUUAUUGAGUGGAAAUGACAA